GAUGAACGCUGGCGGCGUGCCUAAUACAUGCAAGUAGAACGCUGAAGGAGGAGCUUGCUCUUCUGGAUGAGUUGCGAACGGGUGAGUAACGCGUAGGUAACCUGCCUGGUAGCGGGGGAUAACUAUUGGAAACGAUAGCUAAUACCGCAUGACAACAGUUAUUGCAUGAUAACUGUUUAAAAGGGGCAACUGCUCCACUACCAGAUGGACCUGCGUUGUAUUAGCUAGUUGGUGAGGUAACGGCUCACCAAGGCGACGAUACAUAGCCGACCUGAGAGGGUGAUCGGCCACACUGGGACUGAGACACGGCCCAGACUCCUACGGGAGGCAGCAGUAGGGAAUCUUCGGCAAUGGACGGAAGUCUGACCGAGCAACGCCGCGUGAGUGAAGAAGGUUUUCGGAUCGUAAAGCUCUGUUGUAAGAGAAGAACGAGUGUGAGAGUGGAAAGUUCACACUGUGACGGGAUCUUACCAGAAAGGGACGGCUAACUACGU
rnacentral:rRNA from 1 species